GUGUUCCCUUACUCAGCGGUGGUACUUGCUAGAUGGCCUUAUGGGCAAGUGAUUUUCUGACUGGAGGUUGACUCAUAAGCUGAUCUUCUAGGGCUCAAAUGAGAAGCCUAUUGGUCAUGGCCAUCUGAAGAGGGGCAAGAGGGAGCAGUUACCCCACCCCAUUGGAUUGAGCCAGUCCCAUUUAAUUCAAUGGGGAUUACUUCCAGGCAAAGGGAAGACAUGAAAGAACUGGAGGACCUCAAAACCAUGGCAAACCGCAUUUGCAUACUGCUUUGUACAAAAUCUAGACAAUUCACAUUGAGAGGAGGAGAAUUCCCAACACAGCACUUCCAUUUACGAAGCAAAAUUCAGUACUUCAGAACUCCAACUGUGGAAAAAUUCCAAUAAAGAAAAUGUUGGAAGCACCCCUCACAGCAAGUGGCCAGAUAUUCCCUGAGAUCCACCAUCCACUGAAUUUCUUCUACUUCUACGCAAUAGCCUAUUGAAUUAUUGUGCAGUUGCCAUUUAUUUCAAUAAGCCUUGUGCAUGAGAACCUCUCAGUGGAUUAAAUGAGAGCUAAAGAUACUAAUUUUUAGAAGUUUAGUUAAAACACAAAUGAUAUUAAAAUGCUUAUUGCCAAUUAUGGAUGGAUAUAUGUUUUUGGUAAAAAUGCAAAUUCUGUGGCCAGCCUACUGAGUUUGCUUCUUGUUUCAUUAAAAAAUUGAUGGGCUCUGAAAGUAAAGCAUUCUUUUACUAUUUGGCCUGUUCCCAAUCAUGUAACUACCCCAUCUGUAUAAACAUUGUAUUCCCCCGAUUCAUUUAAAUGUAGAUUUAGAAAUGUAGUCCAAUUCAUUUAGGUAAUCACAAGCUAAUGUAUGUGCAAAGCUUGCAGUAUAGAUAUAGUCAUAUCAUAUUUGCAGUAUUAUACUGUCAUUAUAAGCACUUUGGCACUUGGACAGUUUGGAAAAUAUUGUACAUAUACUAGUAAACCCUUCACACAA